GGCGCAGCUGGCGCCUGUGGCCUCAGCAGGUCCAGGCUGGCUCGGUCUUAAAGGGGCCGCACCCCUUUGUGGGCCAUGCUGGGCAGGGUGGGGUCUCCAGGGGGGUGGGCUGCAGGGGAAGUUGUGCUGGGCCAAGUGGCAUCACCUGCCAUGGGCUGCUGAGGCUGGGAUGCCGCCACGGCCUGGAGCCCUACAAUAUGGCAUGCAACGUGCUACAGUGUGUCGCGCACAUGGCUUCAUGCCAUGGUGCCACCGCCACAUCCUGCCACGCUUUGCACCCCAGACUGUGGGGUGGCCCAUAUUAUGAGCCCCCUACUUGACACCUUAGAAGCCCUGUCUUAUGCCUUCGUGCACCGUGGAGGCCUGCCGGAGCAUCCCCAGCACCAAGUGUUUGCUGUCACAGCUGGGUACAGGUUGCCGUUGUCUUUGGGAGCGGCCUGCGCAAUGAUUCAACUUUCACACGGCCACCAGAGCCAUUUCCCAAGCUGCCGAUGGUGAUAGCACAGCGCUGACGUUUCUUUUGGAGACGCCCAGAGGCACCUCCCUUCCAUCUGGAGAUCAGCACCACGUUGUUCUAGAAACUGAACAAACACAGAAUGAGAAACAUUGCGGCUCCUGAAGAGCCAUUUCAUUUUUACUAUCUGCUAGGAUUGUCCAGAGAAACUGGACUAGUCAUUUUUUAUCUCACUUAUAGUGCCUAAUUUCUGUCAAUCGUGAAUAGUAAUAUGAAUAAGAAAUUUCUAGUGGAACAUUACAAUACCUGGUUUGCAAAGACAGCUGAAGUCUGUUUUCUUGCUUUCAGUGGAUGUUUCCAUACUUUAUAGAAAUAGUUCUGUUUGUCAAAAGUUUGUUUCUAAGGCCCAAAUCUUGCCAAAAUAGGCAUACAUGUUUAAUAUUAUGCACAUGUAAGGUUCUGCUUGGAAUUAUAUCAUAAUCCCAGUGAUUUUAAAUUAAAUGUAAGUAUGCAUAUGAAUUUUUGCAGCAUCAGGUUUAAAUAUUUUUAACAGUUUUCAUCACUCUGGUGCAUUUCAACUGUUAAAGCUGCCAAUCCAUUAAAAGGAUACACAUCAAUCAAAAAAAAAAUUCAAAUCUGCAUGUUCUUGGGGAUACAAGCUGUCGCCUUUUUAUCUGGAAAAAUGCCAAACAUUGUUGAGAGGCAAGGAUUUUUUGGCAAUAUAUUUUAUUGGACCAACUGUAUAGCUGGGAGAGAUGUUAGACAAAAUUUAGCAUCCACAAAUAAUGAAUACGAACCACAUCAUUCACGUUCUCCAACAUGUAAAUAAUCUAAGUAUUAAUUAAAAGUCUGACUUAACAGAAGUCUUAAUUCCCUUUCCUAAUUUGACAUGCACAGUUAACAUAUAUUGUUAGAUAGGACUAUCUGUUAUGCCAAAGAUGUCUGUUUUUCAGUGGUGAGUGAAAUGAACUCUGCAUAAAUUGUAUCCUUCACUUCCUGUCCUAAAAUAUUCUAUAUUGGCACUAUGUUUCCAGAGGUGGAUGAAUUCCAAUGACAUUGAAGUGAUUCCUGUCUCUGGUAGUAAUUGUUAAUGAAUUAUUAAUAA